AAACAUUUGACUUGGGCAGCACUUUUAGGGGGUUUGGCAAAAAAGCCACCCCUAAGCACCCUGGCAGAUGCCCUGUUAGCCUCUUUCAUGGGGGGCCCAAGAGCUGGCCGGCUGGCCACCUCAGGUACCCCCGAGGCUUUGAAAUGCUCCCAGUGCGGCCAGGGUGUGGGCGUGAGGGAGUCCUCUGAGCUCUUCCUGGUUAGCUGCCUCGUGC